UACAUGGGGUGCAAACGUUGCUCGGAAUUAUUGGGCGUAAAGCGCACGUAGGCGGUUUGUUAAGUCGGAUGUGAAAUCCUUCGGCUCAACUGAGGAAGUGCAUCCGAAACUGGCAGGCUUGAGUACUAAAGAGGGUCGCGGAAUUCCCGGUGUAGAGGUGAAAUUCGUAGAUAUCGGGAGGAACACCGGUGGCGAAGGCGGCGACCUGGGUAGAUACUGACGCUGAGGUGCGAAAGCGUGGGGAGCAAACAGG
rnacentral:rRNA from 1 species